AAUGGGGGGAAACCCUGAUGCAGCCAUGCCGCGUGUUGUGAAGAAGGCCUUUCGGGGUUGUAAAGCACUUUCAGUAGGGAGGAAGGUAGUUGUAGUUAACACCUGCAUUAUUUGACGUUACCUACAGAAGAAGCACCGGCUAACUCCGUGCCAGCAGCCGCGGUAAUACGGAGGGUGCGAGCGUUAAUCGGAAUUACUGGGCGUAAAGCGCAUGCAGGCGGCCUGUUAAGUCAGAUGUGAAAGCCCGGGGCUUAACCUCGGAAUUGCAUUUGAAACUGGCAGGCUAGAGUCUUGUAGAGGGGGGUAGGAAUUUCAGGUGUAGCGGUGAAAUAGCGUAGAGAUCUGAAGGAAUACCAGUGGCGAAGGCGGCCCCCUGGACAAAGACUGACGCUCAGAUGCGAAAGCGUGGGGAGCAAACAGGAUUAGAUACCCUGGUAG
rnacentral:rRNA from 1 species